GGGAUGGGGUGACUAGUGACAGAGUGAGGAAGGGGUUGACUAGGGACAGAGGGGGUGAUUAGUGACAGAGUUAGGGAGGGAGUGACUAGUGACAGAGAGAGGGAUGGGGUGACUAGUGACAGUCACCCCCUCCCUCCCUCUGUCACUAGUCACUACCUCCCUCUGUCACUAGUCACUACCUCACUCUGUCACUAGUCACUCCCUCACUCUGUCACCAGUCAUCCCCUCACUCUGUCACUAGUCACCUCUUCCCUCCCUCACUUUUCCACUAGUCACCUCUUCCCUCCC